UUUCCUUGAGAAGGGUGAUGAUUAUUAUAUUGAAUUAGCCUUGAUUAGAAAGCUGGUAAACUUGAAUUCAUUUUUUUGGUUGGCUGAAAAAAACGUUAAAAUAAAGUCAGAAGGUAAGUGUAACUUUCUUUAGAUUUUCACUUUCUCCUUGAAAUCUUGGGCUUUUUUUACGAUAAUGAGUGAUGAGGAAGACGAAAAGAGGAAAUGCUGGAUAUUGGAAGGUUGAGAGAGAAUAAAAAACAACAUAAUAAAAAAAGAAAACUUGAAAUGAUUAACUAGCCGAUAAAUUCACUUGUUUCUAGUCGUUCACUAAAAUGUGCAACAAAGUCAGAAGAGAAAACUUUGCUUCAGCUUUUUCUUACUAACCGAUCCCUUAGCUUUUCAUCUGUUAUUUAUUUUGUAUUGCCAAGUGUCAACACUUUUUCGGUUGUUAAUUCAAUACUAAUAGUAUGUAAUUGUGAUAAAUGGAUUAACCAUUUAAGAAAUCAAUCAAACCAGGAGUAAAUCUUUAGGAUUACCACCAACUCUAAUAACAUCAAUAUCAACAGCAAUUUAAAAAGGUAAUUUGGUUCCAUUAUAUCUAUUUGCUACUAGAUUGGUCAGUCAAUGAGUUCCAAUUUCGAUGAUAUUGAUUGGGACAUUAUUUCUGGUUUUGCUUUUAUGGUCAUCUCAACCAGUUUAAUAUUUGUUUACCAACAUGUCCGACCAGUUGAACAAUUUUUAUCCACUUUUAGAGUCUUAAUUGCAACAUUAUGAAGAUGGUUGCAGUCAAAAUUGAUGGAUCAAGUCUAAUAAUCAACACAAAUUGAUGAUUUAAAUAACGGAUGAUCUACCAAAUUUGCAUAUUUCUGGUUAAACCUGUUAGUUGAUGACAAUUUGAUUGAGACAAUAUUGCUGCGCCAGGGAAAGGAAACAAUUAGACUGUUUAAAAGAUGCUUUCAUUUUAAUCUUCAUCAUUAUUUCACGAUUAAAUUUGAUUGUUUGUUUCCAAUGAAAAAACGAAACAAAUGAUAAAUUUCAUGUGUAUUUACUGUAUUACAAUUAAUUGUGGCCCACCUAAAAAGUGCAACAAAAUCAGAAGAUGUUAAUGACGAUGAUGAUGAUUAAGAUGGAUUAACAAACGUUUCAAAUAUAAUUCAUUUGUAUUAUUACUACUUUGGCAAAUGAAACAAUUAAAAUGAAUGAUUUAAGGACAACUUAUCACAAUCGGGAAUGUUAUUUGCUUAUAUAAUUAACCUAAAAGUGGAUAAACAAUCAACAAUAAUGUGAAAAACAAUUGGUUGACGGAUAGAUUUACAUAAUUAGCUUAGGACACAUGAGAAAAUGAUUGAAACAUUUGUUGUCAUUACUUCUUGCCUUGAGAUUUGUAAUUAGUAAAUAUUUACAAAUUUAAA